AAUUUACACAUAUAUCCUUUUUUUUUCUCACAUCUCCCUCCUAAUUUCUCUCUUUUUCCCCUUUAUUACCCCAUUCUCCUUCUCUUCCUUCUCCCAACUUUGGUUUCUCUUUCCCCUCUUUUUCGUUCUUCUCAGGAUUCAAGGAUACAGUUGUACAAUCUAUAAAAUAGAUCUUGUUCGAGUAAGGUCGUCUUUUCCUUCUUCAAAUCAACCCUAGGGUUUCUCCACAACCCCAAUCUUAUUUCAUUCCCCUAUUUUUAGGGUUUUAACAAAUACCCAUCUUCCCAAUUACUUCUUUUUUCUCCCUAAUUGAUUCAUUUAUCCCUAAUCUCCCUCAUUUUACUUAAUAGUCCUUUUUUUUCUCUUAUAUUCAUCAUUUAAAAGACAGAUUCCUUCUACUUCAUCAUCAUGCUGCCUCUUCCAGAAAAAUUCGAACUUACAAUCUCCCUUAAUCGAGAGUAUAUGUCUUGAUGCAAUCGGAGACACACAUAUUAUCCACAAAUGAAUAGGCUAAGACCUUUCACAGCUACCUGCAAACCUGUUCCCAAAAAGCUGCUGGCCAUCAAUCAAAUUGAAGGUGGUUGCAUGUUGAAAUCCAAUAAAAACUCUCAAAUUUGAAGAAGAAACUAAGGAAUUUAAGCUGGAAAAGAAUUUUUUGUUACUUCUUCUUCUUCCUCUUCAAACCCAUAAAAAACACCUUCACAAAUUCACUCAAAUUUGAGUUCUACCACUCAAAUUCAAGGCUGAGAAUAGUAGAGAAGAUCUUUUGGUAGUUCACUGUCGAUUUGAAGCUGAUUUGGAGUGAAGAGCAGCUUAGAAUUGGAAGAUUUCAUCAUAGGUAAAUUCAACUUGAAACCCACUUCUAAAAAUGUCUUUUAGCUUACUUUAGAACUCAAAUUAAAUGUAAUUAGAGUGAUUAUUGAUUCUUUUUGCUUCUGUUGCAUGUUAGUUUAUCCCAUUAAUUGGUAUCAGAGCGUGAUUUAAGCACUCAAUUAACGUUAAUUUGAGUUUUGGUAGGUGAAUUUCUAAAGUUGCAUGUUUGGACUGAUAUGGAUGGUUUUUUUCAACUUAGGCUUUAGAUUCUUCUUUGAUUUCAAUGUUAAAUUUAUAAUUGGCUCUUUUUUUAUGAGCUUAUAUUUGUGCUUUAGAGUCUAUAAUUUAUUUGGAGUCAUUAGAGUCCGUUUUAAGCUGUAAUUUGGAGAUUGAAGUAAGCAAGGUCAUGAAACAGCAGCUAUAGGAUUGCAUUCUGCCCAGGCAUCGCUGCAACGCUCCGGCGUUCUUGGUGAAGACAGCAUUGUUGCAACACUGGGAUGAGCGUUGCGACGCUGUUCAUCCCAGCUAGACCGGUUCGGGCGGAAGAGGCUUGGUUCAACCGAUUCAGCUCUAUUCCAAUCUGAUUCAACCCUAUUUGGACUGGUUCAACCCAUUAUGAUUUCUUUGGAGGUCUGGUUCAAGCGGUUCGGGUCUGAUUCGAGUUGGUUCGACACUAAAUUGAAGCUGUUUUGGACCCCUUUUUGUAAUAAUUUAGUUAUUUUGCUUGCUUAGGAUGCCAAAGUUAAACCAUAUUAGUAUUUAUUUAAAUAAUUAUGCAUGUGAUGUAUGUUGUAUUUAAAUUUAAAAAUGUUUGUGCAUAUAGUAUGCCAUUUAG